GUGAGGAAUAUUGCGCAAUGGAGGCAACUCUGACGCAGCCAUGCCGCGUGCAGGAAGAAGGCGCUACGCGUUGUAAACUGCUUUUAACCGGGAAGAAACCCCAGGACGUGUCCUGGGUUGACGGUACCGGAGGAAUAAGCACCGGCUAACUUCGUGCCAGCAGCCGCGGUAAUACGAAGGGUGCAAGCGUUAUCCGGAUUCAUUGGGUUUAAAGGGUGCGUAGGCGGAGCGUUAAGUCAGUGGUGAACUCCUGCAGCUUAACUGUAGACUUGCCAUUGAUACUGGCGCGCUUGAGUGCGCUUGAAGUGGGCGGAAUGUGCCGUGUAGCGGUGAAAUGCUUAGAUAUGGCACAGAACACCAAUUGCGAAGGCAGCUCACUAAGGCGAUACUGACGCUGAGGCACGAAAGCGUGGGGAUCGAACAGGAUUAGAUACCCUAGUAGUCC
rnacentral:rRNA from 1 species